rnacentral:rRNA from 1 species
UACGGAGGGUGCGAGCGUUGUCCGGAAUCACUGGGCGUAAAGGGCGCGUAGGCGGCCGUGUAAGUCACUUGUGAAAUCCCGGGGCUCAACUCCGGGGCUGCAGGUGAGACUGCGUGGCUAGAGCACGGUAGAGGCGAGUGGAAUUCCCGGUGUAGCGGUGGAAUGCGUAGAUAUCGGGAGGAACACCCGUGGCGAAGGCGGCCAACUGGGCCGGACCUGACGCUGAGGCGCGAAGGCGUGGGGAGCGAACGGG